UUGACCUCGGAUCAGGUAGGGAUACCCGCUGAACUUAAGCAUAUCAAAAGG
rnacentral:rRNA from 1 species